rnacentral:antisense_RNA from 1 species
GGGAGGGAAGAAACAGAGCGAGCUACGCUGCGGGAGCGCAGUUACCAGCCGGCUGCGGUCACGUGCCUGGGAGGAGGAGCUGAGACCUCAGAGGAGGGGCGCGCGGUAGCGCCCCGGGUCCCCUAGCAGGGCUCUGGAGACCACGUGAAGUCUCCUCGGAGCUGGUGUAGUGAAGGAUGGAAGAGAAGGCAAUGCAUUGGUUUAGACAAGCCUCCCAGCAGGACCAUCCUGGUGCUGCCUUUAACCUUGCAGUAGGAACACUGAAAAGCAUGACUGGCUCCAUGGAAGCAGGGGAUGUAGAAAUGCUCCUUAAUGUUGCUGCAAAACAGGGGAUCCAAGAAGCCCAAGAACGUCUGGAGAAUGUUAUUUGGACUAAAAGCAAGCUCUCACCAACUGAAAGAACUGGGAGUUCUUAUAAACCAUAAUGUGCGUCCUGCAUGCUCUUCCUGGAACAUGGGAUUUUCUGCUCUC